rnacentral:rRNA from 1 species
GGAUGCGAUCAUACUAGCACUAAAGCACCGGAUCCCAUUAGAACUCCGAAAUUAAGCGUGCUUGGGCGAGAGUAUUACUAGGAUGGGUGACCUCCUGGGAAGUCCUCGUGUUGCAUUCC